rfam:Ananas comosus cultivar MD2 ACMD2_Scaffold_1640, whole genome shotgun sequence.
UCUGCAUUGCGGCAUUGGCACGGUUCAAUCCCACCAUCUUGCUGGAAAACGAUCAGUCUGAUGGUUCGAUUGAGCCGCGCCAAUAUCGUACGUCAGAAU